GCUACUCGAAGCGUGCAUAUCUUUGUGUGGAAGUAAAAAACCCAAGGAUUAUACGUAUGCUCAACUUGGACAAAAUCGAAGAUGGUUUACACAGAAGCAGAUCCUACCUACCUACCUACCCUACCUACCUACCUACCUGACGACCUACUUGACAUUCCACUAAUACUGCAACCCAAUCCAGUACAACCCAGUGGAAGAAUGACCAGAAAUGCAAAAAUAUUUCAAGAAACUAUGAGAUAUCUUCUCGUCGUAGUCAACAUGAGACACAUUCUCUUGAAGGUUCUACCGAAAAGCAAAGAGGGGGUGAUCGGAAAGGAGCAAAAUGUUCAAGAAAACACUUAAUGACUAACUGUAAUAACUGAAAAUGAAGGUUUUUCUAAUAAAGGCAAG